rnacentral:rRNA from 1 species
UACAGAGGUCUCAAGCGUUGUUCGGAUUCAUUGGGCGUAAAGGGUGCGUAGGCGGCGCGGUAAGUCGGGUGUGAAAUCUCGGAGCUUAACUCCGAAACUGCAUUCGAUACUGCCGUGCUUGAGGACUGGAGAGGAGACUGGAAUUUACGGUGUAGCGGUGAAAUGCGUAGAUAUCGUAAGGAAGACCAGUGGCGAAGGCGGGUCUCUGGACCGUUCCUGACGCUGAGGCACGAAGGCCAGGGGAGCAAAGCGGG